CUUCAGACUAAUGAAAUUGAAGUAUCCAAAUGAAGACCCUAGCAGUAUGGAGUAUAUGGAUACAGACGUUGCCAGCAGUCAGGAGGUGAUCCAGAAGACUCCUGGGAAUCUAUUUGAAGCUGCAUCAUUGAAGACAGUCCAGCAGAAGUUGGAGUUUUAAAGGAUACAGUUCUUCAGGACCUAUAGCAGUUUACAGUCUGCAAAACCAUGUUGCUGGGACUGAUUUAUGGACUGAACUUGAGCAACCCUCCUGAAUUCAGGUACACAUUUGGAAUACUGAAGAAGUUAUUUCUGGAGCCAGUUUCUGUUCCUGGAAUAAGGUUUGAUUGGUUACCCAUGAAUGCCAAUUAGAAUUGUAUUUGCUAUUUUGUGUAAUUUUGUAAUGUGGUUUAAACUGUAUUUUACUGUGUGUAAUUAUUUAUUGCUUGUUUAACAAAUACACUUUGAUCAUUUGUGA